rnacentral:rRNA from 3 species
UACGUAGGGUGCGAGCGUUAAUCGGAAUUACUGGGCGUAAAGCGUGCGCAGGCGGUGCGCCAAGCUCGAUGUGAAAGCCCCGGGCUUAACCUGGGAAUUGCAUUGAGGACUGGCGUGCUCGAGUGCGGCAGAGGGGGGUGGAAUUCCACGUGUAGCAGUGAAAUGCGUAGAGAUGUGGAGGAACACCGAUGGCGAAGGCAGCCCCCUGGGCCGACACUGACGCUCAUGCACGAAAGCGUGGGGAGCAAACAGG